rnacentral:rRNA from 1 species
AUGAACGCUGGCGGCGUGCCUAAUACAUGCAAGUCGAGCGAACAGAUGAGGAGCUUGCUCCUCUGACGUUAGCGGCGGACGGGUGAGUAACACGUGGAUAACCUACCUAUAAGACUGGGAUAACUUCGGGAAACCAGAGCUAAUACCGGAUAAUAUAUUGAACCGCAUGGUUCAAUAGUGAAAGACGGUUUUGCUGUCACUUAUAGAUGGAUCCGCGCCGCAUUAGCUAGUUGGUAAGGUAACGGCUUACCAAGGCAACGAUGCGUAGCCGACCUGAGAGGGUGAUCGGCCACACUGGAACUGAGACACGGUCCAGACUCCUACGGGAGGCAGCAGUAGGGAAUCUUCCGCAAUGGGCGAAAGCCUGACGGAGCAACGCCGCGUGAGUGAUGAAGGUCUUCGGAUCGUAAAACUCUGUUAUUAGGGAAGAACAAAUGUGUAAGUAACUAUGCACGUCUUGACGGUACCUAAUCAGAAAGCCACGGCUAACUACGUG